AUCAAAUAUAUAAUGUUCAACUUUAUCGUCCUCAUAGGAGCUUAAUCCACUCUUUAAUGGUUUCCCAUUGAAAAUUUGAUAGUCUUCCAAUAAUAAUAAAAUAGAAAUUAUUUACAGAAAUUAUACAGCCAGUUGAUACAAGAUACUCCUGAAAAUAGCUAGUCUUCUUAUCUUGGUCCUCUCUUGUUGCAUACCACGUCUUCUUCGUCGAUCUUGCAUGACCCACCUGAUCACGACUUAAAUCUUUCAGAAUCACUAACUUGAUCUAAGUCUUCGUAUGUAAAUCCCUCUGAUCCCACCGAUUUUGUGAGCGAUGACUUGUCUCAAGAACACAUAAACUCUGAAUUCAUCUAUAGGGUUCCACACAGCUCUAUUGAAGUAAUCCUAGAGAAAAGACUUCUUCUUUUUCCUACUGGAUUGCCAAACUCCAGCAACACCACAAAAUCUGAAUCUUGACCUACAACUCAAGAUCUUAACAAACAUCAACAUGAAUGAACAUCCUCUACAAAUAUCCCAUAUUCCCUAUAAUUGAGAAGCAAUAAUGAUGUUAAUUUUUCCUGAGGUUAAGGAUGAUUUCAGAUGCUAAAUAUAUUUGUGAAAAGGUGUUCUCUGAAAGUGGGUUUUCAAGUUUGUAGAAAGACUUUCAAAGAUAUGAUUAUCAUCACAAUAAUCAUUCUCAUUAUUCUGGUGAGAAAUGAAAAAUGGUAAUCUGAAAAAAAAAUCUUGGUGAGGGAGAGAGGAAAAUGAUUUAUAUAUGUACUUGAGAUUAUGCACAAAAUGAGUGAAAAUAUUAUGUUUGAUCCGAGUCAAGAAAAUUUGUUGAUUUGAGUCAAGUGAACAAGUAAUGUGGAACAAGAUCAACAUAAAAGAAGUAACCCAUUUUCUUAUGAUUAGAGUCAAGUUAAAAUAAUGAUUCGAGUCAUG
rnacentral:lncRNA from 1 species